AUUGAACGCUGGCGGCAGGCCUAAUACAUGCAAGUCGAGCGGAGCGGCGGACGGGUGAGUAAUGCCUAGGAAUCUGCCUGGUAGUGGUGGAAAACGUCCGGAAACGGGCGCUAAUACCGCAUACUAUCAGAUGAGCCUAGGCCGGAUUAGCGAGUUGGUGGGGGAAAGGCCUACCAUGGCGACGCGCCGUAACUGGUCUGAGAGGAUGAUCAGUCACACUGGAACUGAGACACGGUCCAGACUCCUACGGGAGGCAGCAGUGGGGAAUAUUGGACAAUGGGCGAAAGCCUGAUGCAGCCAUGCCGCGUGGGUGAAGAAGGUCUUCGGAUUGUAAAGUACUUUCAGCGGGGAGGCGUUACCCGCAGAAGAAGCACCGGCUAACUCCGUGCCAGCAGCCGCGGUAAUAC
rnacentral:rRNA from 1 species